CAAAGUGUAGCUUGAAUCAGAGAACCAGUCAGAAGACAUGUAAGUGGAGUGAUCUACGGAAGAAGACGAGAGAUCUAGUCGGUGAUGAAGAUGAUUACGGAGCCGCUAGAGACGGUAAUGAAAAUAGCUAGAAUUUCAUCAUGCGGGAGGAACGGGUGGGGUUUGAGUCUCGAGUAGCUUGAAUCUGGUUACGGAUAGUUCUGUCGAUGGAGGAAACAAUCGUUGCUGCAGAUUUGAAUGAUUGCAUGUGUCAACACAGUGUUUAUGUUCAAUAGCAUCAUAGGCAAAAGAUAGAUCCUGGAAAUAUUGUACGCUCUCAAUAAAAUUCCAAGGAUUUGAAUAUCUUGUAACUGUUAACUGUGUUGUAGCAUGUACAUUAUCAUUAGUAUGUUUACAUUGAUUUUGAUUCUAAUAUUUUUUGAACCUUA
rnacentral:lncRNA from 1 species